rnacentral:piRNA from 1 species
UCUUCUGGAAGGAGAGCUCGCUGUCCAGUA